CCUACGGGAGGCUGCAGUGGGGAAUAUUGGACAAUGGGCGAAAGCCUGAUCCAGCCAUGCCGCGUGUGUGAAGAAGGCCUUCGGGUUGUAAAGCACUUUCAGUGGGGAAGAAAGCCUUGGGGCUAAUACCCUCGAGGAAGGACAUCACCCACAGAAGAAGCACCGGCUAACUCCGUGCCAGCAGCCGCGGUAAUACGGAGGGUGCGAGCGUUAAUCGGAAUUACUGGGCGUAAAGCGCGCGUAGGCGGUCUGAUAAGCCGGUUGUGAAAGCCCCGGGCUCAACCUGGGAACGGCAUCCGGAAGCGUCAGGACGGAGUGCAGGAGAGGAGAGGAGAAUUCCCGGUGGUGCGGUGAAAUGCGUCGAGUACGGGGGGAAUAACAGGUGCGAAGGCGGCCUUCCGGACUGACAAUGGCGCUGAGGUGCCAAAGCGUGGGUAGGCGACAGGACUUGGUUACCGCGGUAUC
rnacentral:rRNA from 1 species